GCGUCAGUAGUGCAGCGGGUUAGAGCACGGGCUGCGAACCAGAGUGAGAUACGGGUUCGAGUCCCGGCUGACGCA